AUUGAACGCUGGCGGCAGGCCUAAUACAUGCAAGUCGAGCGGGCGGCGGACGGGUGAGUAACGCAUGGGGACCGCCCGAUAGAGGGGGAUAACUACUGGAAACGGUGGCUAAUACCGCAUACUGUUGGAUAUCUCAUUUGGCAUUAGCUAGUAGGUAAGGUAAUGGCUGACCUAGGCGACGAUCCCUAGCUGGUCUGAGAGGAUGAUCAGCCACACUGGAACUGAGACACGGCCCAGACUCCUACGGAGGCAGCAGUGGGGAAUAUUGCGCAAUGGGCGCAAGCCUGAUGCAGCCAUGCCGCGUGUAUGAAGAAGGCCCUAGGGUUGUAAAAUACUUUCAGUCGGGAGGCGUUACCGACAGAAAAAGCACCGGCUAACUCCGUGCCAGCAGCCGCGGUAAUUC
rnacentral:rRNA from 1 species